CUACGGACUUAGAUAACUGAGCCUUGAUAGAGAAAUCUUUCAAGUGGAAGCUCUCAAACUCAGGGAAACCUAAAUCUGGUAACAGACAUGGCAAUCCUGAGCCAAGCCCAGAAAUUUAGAAUUUGAGAUUUUAUUUUGGACUUCAACCCAAAAUUUAAAAUCCAAAAUCCAAAAUUCAGGGAAGGUGCAGAGACCCGACGGGAGCUACCCUAACGUAAAGUCGAGGGUAAAGGGAGAGUCCAAUUUUCAAAGCCUCAAGCUUUUAGAG
rnacentral:ncRNA from 1 species